rnacentral:rRNA from 1 species
CACAUUGCACCAUUGGGUAUUCCCAAUGGUAUGCUUGUUUGAGCGAAUACUUCCCUAAUCCUCACGGAUUGUAUUGUGUUUGCACGAAAAUAAUGACGACAGUACUCUACAAAACGGUACCGUCAGUACACUCAUUUUUUUUCCUCAAAUCAAGUAGGACUACCCGCUGAACUUAAGCAUAUCAAUAAGCGGAGGAAAAGAAACCAACAGGGAUUGCCUCAGUAACGGCGAGUGAAGCGGCAAAAGCUCAAAUUUGAAAUCCCCCCGGGGAGUUGUAAUUUGAAGAUUGCGUCUUGGAGGCGACCGUGUCUAUGUUCCUUGGAACAGGACGUCACAGAGGGUGAGAAUCCCGUGCGGCACGGCCCCCGGCUCCUUAUAAGGCGCUCUCGACGAGUCGAGUUGUUUGGGAAUGCAGCUCAAAGUGGGUGGUAAAUUCCAUCUAAAGCUAAAUACAGGCGAGAGACCGAUAGCGAACAAGUACAGUGAUGGAAAGAUGAAAAGCACUUUGAAAAGAGAGUGAAACAGCACGUGAAAUUGUUGAAAGGGAAGGGCAUGCCGUCAGAUUGUCAGUGUGGGUAAGAAGCGGGGUACAAAGACUGUGGAACGUGGCCCUCGGGUGUUAUAGCCGCAGUUCAUGCCCCGUCUCUUUCCGAGGCCUGCUUUGAGGACACCGACGUAAUGAC